CAAUAGCGUAUAUUAAAGUUGUUGCGGUUAAAAAGCUCGUAGUUGGAUUUCUGCCGAGGACGACCGGUCCGCCCUCCGGGUGAGUAUCUGGUUUGGCCUGGGCAUCUUCUUGGAGAACGUAGCUGCACUUGACUGUGUGGUGCGGUGUCCAGGACUUUUACUUUGAGGAAAUUAGAGUGUUUCAAGCAGGCACACGCCUUGAAUACAUUAGCAUGGAAUAAUAAGAUAGGACCUCGGUUCUAUUUUGUUGGUUUCUAGAGCUGAGGUAAUGAUUAAUAGGGAUAGUUGGGGGCAUUCGUAUUUAACUGUCAGAGGUGAAAUUCUUGGAUUUGUUAAAGACGGACUACCGCGAAAGCAUUUGCCAAGGAUGUUUUCAUUGA
rnacentral:rRNA from 1 species